AUUGAACGCUGGCGGCAGGCUUAACACAUGCAAGUCGAGCGGAGAUGAGGUGCUUGCACCUUAUCUUAGCGGCGGACGGGUGAGUAAUGCUUAGGAAUCUGCCUAUUAGUGGGGGACAACAUUCCGAAAGGAAUGCUAAUACCGCAUACGCCCUACGGGGGAAAGCAGGGGAUCUUCGGACCUUGCGCUAAUAGAUGAGCCUAAGUCGGAUUAGCUAGUUGGUGGGGUAAAGGCCUACCAAGGCGACGAUCCGUAGCGGGUCUGAGAGGAUGAUCCGCCACACUGGGACUGAGACACGGCCCAGACUCCUACGGGAGGCAGCAGUGGGGAAUAUUGGACAAUGGGCGGAAGCCUGAUCCAGCCAUGCCGCGUGUGUGAAGGAGGCCUUUUGGUUGUAAAGCACUUUAAGCGAGGAGGAGGCUACUUAGAUUAAUACUCUAGGAUAGUGGACGUUACUCGCAGAAUAAGCACCGGCUAACUCUGUGCCAGCCGCCGCGGUAAUAC
rnacentral:rRNA from 1 species